UAAAGAUGGGGAUCCUUCGGGACCUAUCGCUCGUUGAGGGGCUCGCGUACGAUCAGCUUGUUGGUGGGGUAACGGCUCACCAAGGCUACGACCGUUAGCUGGUCUGAGAGGAUGGUCAGCCACACUGGGACUGAGACACUGCCCAGACUCCUACGGGGAGGGCUGCAGUCGAGGAUCAUUCGCAAUGCGCGAAAGCGUGACGAUGCGACGCUGCGUGGAGGAUGACGGCCUUAGGGUUGUAAACUCCUGUCAUGCGGGAAGAACCAGCGGUGGGAUAAUAACCCCAUCGCUCUGACGGUACCGCAAGAGGAAGCCACGGCUAACUCUGUGCCAGCAGCCGCGGUAAUACAGAGGU
rnacentral:rRNA from 1 species